rnacentral:rRNA from 1 species
CUUAAAACCCAAAGGACUUGACGGUGUCCCAUUCCCCCUAGAGGAGCCUGUUCUAUAAUCGAUAACCCCCGCUCUACCUCACCACUUUUUGCUAAAACAGCCUGUAUACCUCCGUCGUAAGCUUGCCCUGUGAACGUCUAUCGAGCAAGCUCAAGGGCCUUACCACCAACACGUCAGGUCAAGGUGCAGUCCAUGAAGUGGGAAGCAAUGGGCUACAAUUUCUAAGCUAGAACAAACGAAAUACUGCAUGAAACACAGUCAUGAAGGUGGAUUUAGUAGUAAAAAAGAAUUAGCGAGUCUUUUUUAAUCCGGCCCUGGGACGUGUACACACCGCC